rnacentral:tRNA from 1 species
GUCCCUGUAGCGCAAUAGAUAGCGCAUUGGACCUCUCAUUCAAAGGUCGUGGGUUCGAAUCUCAUCUGGGAUG